UACAGAGGGGGCAAGCGUUGUUCGGAAUUACUGGGCGUAAAGGCGCGUAGGCGGCCUUCUAAGUCGAACGUGAAAUCCCCGGGCUCAACCCGGGAACUGCGUCCGAUACUGGAAGGCUUGAAUCCGGGAGAGGGAUGCGGAAUUCCAGGUGUAGCGGUGAAAUGCGUAGAUAUCUGGAGGAACACCGGUGGCGAAGGCGGCAUCCUGGACCGGCAUUGACGCUGACGGCGCGAAAGCGUGGGGAGCGAACAG
rnacentral:rRNA from 1 species